rnacentral:tRNA from 2 species
GCGCGAUUAGCUCAGCGGGAGAGCGCUUCCCUGACACGGAAGAGGCCACUGGUUCGAACCCAGUAUCGCGCACCA